rnacentral:rRNA from 1 species
GACGAACGCUGGCGGCGUGCUUAACACAUGCAAGUCGAACGGGCCCGCCCCUGUUUUUGGGGGUGGGUUGAGUGGCGAACGGGUGAGUAUCACGUGAGUAACCUGCCCCCUGCUCCUGGAUAACUGCUUGAAAGGGCGGCUAAUACGGGGUGUGCCGGCUGGUCCGCAUGGGCCUGGUCGGGAUAGUUUCAUCUUCGGGUGUUUCGGUGGGGGAUGGGCUCGCGGCCUAUCAGCUUGUUGGUGGGGUGAUGGCCCACCAAGGCGGUGACGGGUAGCCGGCCUGAGAGGGUGGGCGGCCACACUGGGACUGAGACACGGCCCAGACUCCUGCGGGAGGCAGCAGUGGGGGGUAUUGCACAAUGGGCGGAAGCCUGAUGCAGCGACGUCGCGUGAGGGAUGGAGGCCGUCGGGUUGUGAACCUCUUUCUCCGGUGGUGAAGGCCCUGUCCGUUGCGGCGGGGUUGACGGUAGCCGGGGAUGAAGCGCCGGCUAACUACGUG